GGAGGGUGAAACUCCCGUCCGCCUGGUAGAAUGAGUCUUUGUCAACGAGUCGAGUUGUUUGGGAUUGCAGCUCUAAUUUGGUGGUAAAUUCCAUCUAAAGCUAAAUAUUGGUGGGUGACCGAUAGCGUACAAGUACCGUGAGGGGAAGAUGCAAAGAACUUUGAAAAGAGAGUUAAAGAGUACCUGAAAUUGCUGAAACGGAAGCGAAGGAAGCCAGUGUUUGUUGGUUCAUAUUUCCUUGGCCACUUGUGGUUUGGGCGCUGUGAGCUUGCGUGGGUUUGGGUUGGUUGAUCCCUUUGGAAGAGCGCAGUCAGAGUUGAUGUCU
rnacentral:rRNA from 1 species